rnacentral:rRNA from 1 species
AUACGUAGGGUGCGAGCGUUGUCCGGAAUUACUGGGCGUAAAGAGCUCGUAGGUGGUUUGUCGCGUCGUCUGUGAAAUUCCGGGGCUUAACUCCGGGCGUGCAGGCGAUACGGGCAUAACUUGAGUACUGUAGGGGAGACUGGAAUUCCUGGUGUAGCGGUGAAAUGCGCAGAUAUCAGGAGGAACACCGGUGGCGAAGGCGGGUCUCUGGGCAGUAACUGACGCUGAGGAGCGAAAGCAUGGGUAGGGAACAGGAUUAGAUACCCUGGUAGUCCAUGCCGUAAACGGUGGGCGCUAGGUGUAGGGGUCUUCCACGACUUCUGUGCCGUAACUAACGCAUUAAGCGCCCCGCCUGGGGAGUACGGCCGCAAGGCUAAAACUCAAAUGAAUUGACGGGG